CCGGCGGGUGACGCGGAGGGACAUUACCGAGUUUACAACUCCCAAACCCCUGUGAACAUACCUAUACGUUGCCUCGGCGGAUCAGCCCGCGCCCUGUAAAACGGGACGGCCCGCCCGAGGACCCUAAACUCUGUUUUUAGUGGAACUUCUGAGUAAAACAAACAAAUAAAUCAAAACUUUCAACAACGGAUCUCUUGGUUCUGGCAUCGAUGAAGAACGCAGCAAAAUGCGAUAAGUAAUGUGAAUUGCAGAAUUCAGUGAAUCAUCGAAUCUUUGAACGCACAUUGCGCCCGCCAGUAUUCUGGCGGGCAUGCCUGUUCGAGCGUCAUUUCAACCCUCAAGCUCAGCUUGGUGUUGGGACUCGCGGUAACCCGCGUUCCCCAAAUCGAUUGGCGGUCACGUCGAGCUUCCAUAGCGUAGUAAUCAUACACCUCGUUACUGGUAAUCGUCGCGGCCACGCCGUUAAACCCCAACUUCUGAAUGUUGACCUCGGAUCAGGUAGGAAUACCCGCUGAACUUAAGCAUAUCAAUAAGCGGAGGAAAAGAAACCAACAGGGAUUGCCCUAGUAACGGCGAGUGAAGCGGCAACAGCUCAAAUUUGAAAUCUGGCUCUCGGGCCCGAGUUGUAAUUUGUAGAGGAUGCUUUUGAUGCGGUGCCUUCCGAGUUCCCUGGAACGGGACGCCAUAGAGGGUGAGAGCCCCGUCUGGUUGGAUGCCAAAUCUCUGUAAAGCUCCUUCGACGAGUCGAGUAGUUUGGGAAUGCUGCUCUAAAUGGGAGGUAUAUGUCUUCUAAAGCUAAAUACCGGCCAGAGACCGAUAGCGCACAAGUAGAGUGAUCGAAAGAUGAAAAGCACUUUGAAAAGAGAGUUAAAAAGUACGUGAAAUUGUUGAAAGGGAAGCGUUUAUGACCAGACUUGGGCUUGGUUAAUCAUCUGGGGUUCUCUCCAGUGCACUUUUCCAGUCCAGGCCAGCAUCAGUUUUCGCCGGGGGAUAAAGGCUUCGGGAAUGUGGCUCUCUCCGGGGAGUGUUAUAGCCCGUUGCGUAAUACCCUGGCGGGGACUGAGGUUCGCGCAUCUGCAAGGAUGCUGCGUAAGGCCCC
rnacentral:rRNA from 1 species